ACCCGCCUAACUCACAUCUCCGUCUUAUACUGUCUCGCGCAAUUCAUAGCGCAACAGUCUCUCUCGCUCGACCAGAACACGAUUCGCAGCGAAUUUGGCAAUAAUCUCUCGCGCCCGCUCUUCUUAUAUAAAUCCACACCCGCCACCGUAUGACCCCUCGUCUCGCCCCAGAUCCAGAUCAUAGGCGUGAAGGCCAACAGUUACCAGGUACGCACGAGAUCGCUCUUCCUCUCCCCCUGCUCCCUCGCCCAGUCUCGCGUGGCGGCGCGCUCGGCGCCCAGCCGACCAGCCCGCUUCCCCCACCGACGGCUUGGGAUCCCUGGGCGCGUCCGAGCCGCCCUAGCCCCUGCAGGUGUGCGUGCCCAGCCAGCCGAUCCGUCGUGCCCCUCCACUCCCGACGGGCGUGCCGAGCGGCCAUGACUGCGGCUCGACAAGCCGACCCGGACCCCUUUCCCCUGCCCCAUGCCCGCGGUAGCCUCCACGCGCGGCCUGGUGUGGCUCGCUGCCCACCGCGGCCAGCGGUGUGCAGCCCGCCCAGCGCGGCGGCCGGGCAGCCAGAUGGGGUGGAUGAGCCCGCCCGAGCGCCCCCCUACACGAGUUCGCCCCCUGCUCCAUGGCCAGGGCAGUUCCAAUCCCCGCGUCUAAGUGGUUCUGAGGUGGAAGAAGGCCCUCUGACCACACUAGAUCCCACUCCCUUUCAUCCUAUGUGGCUAUGUCCCAUGUGGCCCUUCGUGUGGCUUCGAUUCGACCAACCAGAUCGUGCUACGUCACCUAUAAUCCGCGAAAUAUUAUUUAUUCAAUAUAUGUUGUGUUAUAAAUAUGUUUCGUACCGUUCUAGUUACGCUAAUUCCAUAAUAACAUCGUACGUGUUAAAAUAUUAUUUUGUCAUAUCAUAUAUAUUAAUUAAUUAUUUAAUCUCUUGUUUAUUCAAUGGUGAUUAAAGUAGCGUUGCAAUUAAAAUUAAUCUAUACUCUUAAUUUGUGAUUAAAAAAUAUAUGUUAGUAUUAUUAUACCAAUUCAAAUGUUUCUAAAUAAAUACUUAGUAUAGAUGCGAUAUCUGCUAGUGAUUUUCGCGUGUCGCACGAGAGAAUCGUGUGUGUAGCCGCGCGUUAUCCACAUGCUAAGUCGCGUGUGUCCGCGCGUCGUUGCGCUUCGUUUGCGCGCUAUCGCGCUGCUCACACGUCGCGCAUGUUAUUUCGCGUGUCAUUCGCGCUGUUUGUGCGUCGUCGUCAUUCCUUCGCGCGUUCGUGCCGCACGUCUAGUUCGCGUGUUGUCGUGUGUUGUUUGUGCGCGUCGUCACGCGUCUGUAACACCUCAAAACCAUCAACAAAAAAUAAUGCAUUUAGAUUAUUAGUGGCAAAUACAGUAAAGAAUUUUUCUUCAAGUGUUUGAUCUUAUUUACCUUUAGAAUAAUUUUUGUUUGCUCGUAUUUAAUUGAUGGUUGUUUUUUGUGGAAUUUCUUUUAUUAAAAACUCAAUUUAGAACUUUGAUCUAAAAAUAAAUUCUUUAAUGAUAAUAUUUUUGGGUAUAAUUAUUAUGAAUUUUUAGAAAUAUUUAAAAAUAUUUUUAUUUAUAUUUUUGGAAAUAGUGAUAAAAAAAGAAAAAAAACAGCCAAACCCUAGCUGUUUCGGCCCAGCCAGGCCCAUCAGGGCAGCCUCCCGCGCGCCCCUCCCCUCUCUCUCACUCACCGCCACGUGGACCCCACUCGUCAGGUCCUCCCCCUACCUCUAGCCAUGCCCUGGCCAUUGGCCGAACUGUCCGCCCAGACAGUUCGCGCCACGCGCCACGCCCUGGCCCAACCCCAACCCGGCCGAGCGAACUGUCCGUGGCCGCGCUCGACUUGGUCCGCGCCCUCUUGUCUCCCUCCGAGCCGGCUUUCCCUCUCCCUCCCACUUCCUCUUCAUUAUAGACGUUGCGGCCAUCAAUGGCUUUGAUGCACGCCGACCGACUCUUCAACCCUAGCGCCCCUUCCCUUCCCCCUCUUCCUCUAUAAAUAGGACCGACCGAGCCCUCCUCUCUCCCUCCAUGCCGAACUCGCCCAGCCCUUCCUCUCUCCCUGCCCGCGCUCUGCUGACCAGAGUACCGCCCACAGAGCCACCCGGACCGUUCGCGCCGACCACCUGCUCGCCUGAGUUGCGCCCGUCGGACCGUCCGCGUCCCUGCCUCGCCUCGGCCGCGCCCGAGCUGUCCGGCCUGUCCGCGCCCGCUUGCCGUCGCUGGAGCCGUUCCGUCCCCCUCACCCGCGCGCGUGGUCAGCUGAAGGUAGAAGAUGACAUUUUGUGAUUUAGCCCCUAAACUUGUGUAAAAUUAGCCCAGAAAUUAUCUAGUUCAGAAACUAUUACAAAUAGAUCCCUGUUUAUUUCUGGCCACUCCCUGAUGUAUACGUUUAAUUGUGAAUCAGCCCCUGCAACAAUAUGGAUAUGGGUAUUUUUAUAUUUCGAAAAUAAAUAAGUUAUGUCAUGAUUCAUUGAUUUUGCGAUUUAGUACUAGAAACGUUUGCGGUUGACUUCUCAUUUUAGCGCAUAAAACAAUAGUAUGUUAGUAAUUGUUUAAGUAUAAUUUUACUGAUAUAAGAAAUUGAAAGAGGUACUAGGCCACAUUUUCUUGGUCAGGUUAAAAGUUAGAUUUUUACUAGUCAUGCUAUAGAUGUUCAUAUGUAAAUAGCUUAUUCACUAAGAAUUAGUAAAAUAUCUAUUUAUAUCGAAAUAACCAUGAUUAUGUUACUAAAGUCCAAAAAUUAGUAGUUUACAUUAAGUUCUUAGAAUAUUAAUGUUAUGAGAUUUAUAAAUAACAUUUUAAUGAUAUGUAUAAUUUCUAUUUAGAGAGGAUAAAACCAAAAGAAUAUUAUUGGUCAUAAAGAAAAUGAUUAAUUAGCUAUUUAUUUUUGUAGAAUUUGUUAAGUCAUUUCACCUAAGCUAUGCUAGGUGAAAUACUUUCGUAGUCACAUGCCCAUAUAAUUUUCACCAAUGAUAAUCCAAAAUGGAAAUUUUUAGUGGAUUAAUAAAAUAAUUAUGAUUUAGGCAUUAUUUAUAAGUAUAGUUUGUGUGAUAUGUGAUUGUUCAUGUAAUGGUGAAUGUUACGAAUGUAAUGGUGUAUGUUUAUUUAUUUUGUGUAUGUUUUCUUUUGUAUGUACGGUAUGUGAAUCGAUAUUAGAAGCUGACUGUGUGAUAGAUGGACCAAACACGUUCGAAGACGACCCGCAGGACACGUUCGAGCAAGGCAAGUGGAUUCUCCCUCUACAUCUCUAUUUGUACCCAAGUAACUCAUAUAAUAAUGUUUACUUUUUGGAUAUUUGCAUAAUUUUAUGGGAUUUGCCUAAAUAGGAUUUUUCCUAGAAUUACUAACCCUAUUCCUUGAUUUACCCUGGGAUAAAUACUAUGCUUAGCAAUUUGUGCUACUACUCAACUUGAUAAUUAUGAUGUCACUCGUUAAUGAUACUAAUGUUCCGGAAAUGAAGUUUAUAUUAUAAUGUUAACCCGAUGGUUAAACAAGACCAUUUCGUAUUAAAUGGAACAUGGAGUGCCCACCCAGGACAACAGUACAACCACGAGUGCUAUAAUGGCUCUGGCUUUGGUAAUUAGUUCUAUAGACUUAGUGCUUAGCAACCCUACCUGAAAGAUGGGCAAGAGGGGCGGCAGUGGUUUGGUGGCAGCUCAUGUUAACAUGGGGUGGUAGUCUUGGCUAAGUUACCUCGCCUAGAGGGCCAUCAAUACUGACGUGGAAACCUUAGCAGGUGGCUUUGUACUAAGGAUAUUUUAUGAAAGCCUUAUAGUGGGUCCCUAGUCAUUCACCUAGGAAGUGUUUACGGGUCCGAUCAACCUAGGCUAGAGGGGAUACACGGCUUGUGGGUAAAGUUGUACCACCUCUGUAGAGUGUAAAACUAAUAUGUGAGCCAUGCUCACGGUUAAGAGCAACCUGGACCCUCACAUGAUACUUAAAGAUGGGAAAUAAAUUGUGAUCCGAUGAUUCAUAAAUGGUUUGCUUAAGUGGUUUCACUUAAAUGUUUUUGAUAUAAUCAUGUACUUAUGUUUAAUUGGGAAUUUUGGGAUACACUUACAAUUAGUAAGUCAGGCGUUGUUAGUAAAAUAUUGAUCAACUAAAAUGCUUACCGCUUAUCCAUAGCCUACCUUGUUAAACUUGCAUUACUCCUCCCACUUGCUGAGCCCCAACCAUAAGUGAGCUCACCCCUUGCUAAUAUUUUGAUCAGAGGGUGAUGAAGAAGACUUUGCAGAUGAUGUCGAUGAGAACUAAGUCUAACGAUGCACCAGUCACCUUCCUAUGGAAGAGUGUCCAUGUUUAAUUCUAUUGUACUUUGAUGAUGAUACUUUUUAAGACACUAUUGUCUAAAUGAUGUAAUAAAGUUACUCUACUCUCUUUACGCCUUUAUUGCAUUGUCUUUUGAUAUAUUACACUUGUGACGUCAACAUAUGUGUGAAAAAUGGAUAUUGGCACACAUAUCCUAUGCAUUCGGUUUGCCCCCAAAACCGGCUGUGACAGCGUCACUUGCACAUGGUCACAUGUUGUCGUGCGCGCAGUCC
rnacentral:lncRNA from 1 species